rnacentral:rRNA from 1 species
UACGGGGGGGGUAAGCGUUGUUCGGAAUUACUGGGCGUAAAGGGCUCGUAGGCGGCCAACUAAGUCAGACGUGAAAUCCCUCAGCUUAACUGGGGAACUGCGUCUGAUACUGGAUGGCUUGGAUUCGGGAGAGGAAUGCGGAAUUCCAGGUGUAGCGGUGAAAUGCGUAGAUAUCGGGAGGAACACCAGUGGCGAAGGCGACUACCUGGCCUGUUCUUGACGCUGAGGCGCGAAAGCUAGGGGAGCAAACGGG